UACGUAGGGGGCUAGCGUUAUCCGGAUUUACUGGGCGUAAAGGGUGCGUAGGCGGUCUUUCAAGUCAGGAGUGAAAGGCUACGGCUCAACCGUAGUAAGCUCUUGAAACUGUAAGACUUGAGUGCAGGAGAGGAGAGUGGAAUUCCUAGUGUAGCGGUGAAAUGCGUAGAUAUUAGGAGGAACACCAGUUGCGAAGGCGGCUCUCUGGACUGUAACUGACGCUGAGGCAC
rnacentral:rRNA from 1 species